UACGGAGGGUCCGAGCGUUAAUCGGAAUUACUGGGCGUAAAGCGUGCGCAGGCGGUUUGUUAAGCGAGAUGUGAAAGCCCUGGGCUCAACCUAGGAAUAGCAUUUCGAACUGGCGAACUAGAGUCUUGUAGAGGGGGUAGAAUUCAGGUGUAGCGGUGGAAAUAGCGUAGAGAUCUGGAGGAAUACCGGUGGCGAAGGCGGCCUCCUGGACAAAGACUGACGCUCAGGCACGAAAGCGUGGGGAGCAAACAGGAUUAGAUACCCCCGUACGU
rnacentral:rRNA from 1 species